GUCUGUUUGGCGCAGUUGGUGGUGACUCUACUUGCUGCGUUGCGGGCGUGGGUUCGAUUCCCACACAAGACA